rnacentral:rRNA from 1 species
AGCGAACGCUGGCGGCAGGCUUAACACAUGCAAGUCGAACGGGCACUUCGGUGCUAGUGGCAGACGGGUGAGUAACACGUGGGAACGUACCUUUCGGUUCGGAAUAAUUCAGGGAAACUUGGACUAAUACCGGAUACGCCCUUCGGGGGAAAGAUUUAUCGCCGAUAGAUCGGCCCGCGUCUGAUUAGCUAGUUGGUGAGGUAACGGCUCACCAAGGCGACGAUCAGUAGCUGGUCUGAGAGGAUGAUCAGCCACACUGGGACUGAGACACGGCCCAGACUCCUACGGGAGGCAGCAGUGGGGAAUAUUGGACAAUGGGCGCAAGCCUGAUCCAGCCAUGCCGCGUGAGUGAUGAAGGCCUUAGGGUUGUAAAGCUCUUUUGUCCGGGAAGAUAAUGACUGUACCGGAAGAAUAAGCCCCGGCUAACUUCGUGCCAGCCGCCGCGGUAAAAC